GAUUGGCGGAGCGACUCGUGUCGCGUGACGGUGACGGCGCGGGGUUUGAGUGCAUUUGCGCGGUCACUCUGUUCUAAGCCGCCCGGUCUGACGCAAGUCAGCAGUGUUCUCGCUCUGUAAUGUUUUUGCGUUUACUGCGGUCGUGUUCAGUGGAAACUGGAAGACAUCAAGGGGAGUAUAGGUUCAGUUUUUAUAUGAAUGCUAUAUUGAUUGACGAGGAUGUUUUUUUUCCUUUCGGGGUUUUUGUUUAUUUUUUACUGGUUUGUUGUUUCUGUCUGAUUUUUUUUCAUUUUCGGCAUGAGGUUUGGUUAUUUUGUGCUAAUGUUAUGCUAUCACGGUAAGAAAAGGGUCGAUGAGCAAUGGGUCGGCAAAUGCCCGGUAUUAUAGGUUCUUUGAAGGUUAGCUAAAACAACGAAACUUGGACUGCUGGUAGGAAUAGGCUUGGUGUGUUUUUCAGAUUUUGGGAGAUUGAGUGUAGGUAUUUGCUAGGUGAAACAUAGCUGUAACUGUUUUUUUUCUUCCCUGGAACGGAACGCCCGGACUUUGCCAUUCUACACUCCGUGUGAGUGAAAUCAGCUCAUGCUUUCUCGGUGUAGCAGCUCAGAGUGCACGGCCUGGCCGGCGUAGGGUUUGGUGGCCACGUGGUGUUGGCCGGUGGUUGUGCAGAGAGUUGGUAGAAUUGCCGUUUUGUGGUGCCUGGUGUUGGUUGAACUGUGGUUCCCAUACAGGUGAACGGUUACUGGCGUAAGGUGUGCCAGGUGGGCGUACCCCGUGGAGAAUGAGCUGCUGGUGAUGUUGGCUCUGUCCGAGCGUGUCCGAGCGGGGUUUUCAUUAGUGGGUUAGGGAUUGUUGAUAACAAGGGUACCAACUGCCGGGUGAGACUUGAGAGGGUAAAUGGAGUUCAUUGUAAGGAUAACCAAUGCAAUGGUAUUGGUCUAAGAUGGCAUUGUUAUCUGGUGUUAGGUUGGGAUGAAAGGUUUAGUGGGUGAUACAGAGGUACAGAGGUGAUGAUACAGUGGAACCCAGUUUGGGUGUGAUAAGUCUCGGCGGACUAAGAUAUUAUGGAUUAGAUGGGGAAUUAUGUAAGGUGGUUUUGGGAUGCAUUAGCGAUAGCCUAGUAAGUUACAGGCUAUUACCCAGAGGAAGUUUUCACACCCAUGUUUAAAGGCUGCAGUAGGUAUGCCAUUUUCUAGGAUGCAGGUUUAGGAUAGCCCGUGAUUGUGUGGCUCUCAAUCUGCAUUGAGGUACGAGUUAACUGUGUUUCGUUUUUUAUGGUAGUGGCGUUUGUAAAUCGUUUUUUUUUUUUUUUGCCAGAGUGAGGUGCCUUCCUUGUCAUUGGUCAAUAGGGCAUUGCCAAGGCAUGCAUAAGCGACAUCUGCAAUAUGCAUAUCCUGCCGAUAUGUCAUCACACGCAUUGUCAGAUAAAUGGCGCCAGUAUACUCGUAUAUAGCCCCUUUUUGAUACGAGAUUUCGGCUAAAAAUGGUUAUGUGACACAAUCUGUUUUUUUUUCUUCCAUGGCUUGAUGGUUGGCAUCAGACUCUGAACGGCGACGGAUCGGCACACUCGGCGGGGCCGGCCCGCUUUGCCAGAGUCUUCUUCGGCCGCUGGAGGAUUCCUUCACAGCUCCCACGUCAGCUGAGGGAGUCCGACCCCUCCCAGCUCAUCUUGCUCCAGUGGUGCUGCCUAGCAGGUCUUACGGGACAUCGUCAGGUAUAGGCCAAGGUGGCCGGGGUUUUGAAAGCUCGAAGGGGAAGCGGAAAAUACGCCCGGUUAUAUAUGACAAGAUAUAACCGGUUUUUCCGCGACACUACGAGCGUCUUCUCUGGGUCGGCCCCGGAGCCGGGCCGGCCUCUGCGAGCAGCGUUCGGCGGCAGGCGGGCGGCCGCCUGCGCCCCCGGGCGGCAAGGCCGCUAAGGCGGCGGCCUCCUCUGAUUGGCGGAGCGACUCGUGUCGCGUGACGGUGACGGCGCGGGGUUUGAGUGCAUUUGCGCGGUCACUCUGUUCUAAGCCGCCCGGUCUGACGCAAGUCAGCAGUGUUCUCGCUCUGUAAUGUUUUUGCGUUUCCCACCCACCCACCACUAUUUUUGGGGCUUUUUUUUUACACGCACCACACUCUUAAAUAAAGAUGGGUUUUUCCACAAAAUGUGGUUUUUUCCCCAACUAGGUCCCCC
rnacentral:lncRNA from 1 species